UCUCCGUAGGUGAACCUGCGGAGGGAUCAUUACAGAGUUCAUGCCCUACCGGGUAGAUCUCCCACCCUAUGUUAUUAUUACUUUGUUGCUUUGGCGGGCCGUUAGGCUCCGGCCCGACUACCGGCCCCGGCUGGUAAGCGCCCGCCAGAGGACCCAAAACCCUGAAUAUUAGUGUCGUCUGAGUACUAUAUAAUAGUUAAAACUUUCAACAACGGAUCUCUUGGUUCUG
rnacentral:misc_RNA from 1 species